rnacentral:tRNA from 1 species
GUCAGGAUGGCCGAGCGGUCUAAGGCGCUGCGUUCAGGUCACAGUCUCCCCUGGAGGCGUGGGUUCGAAUCCCAUUUCUGACA